AACUCCAUUUCCAUUAUGCUUUCCACUCCAUUCUCUCAACUUUUACUUGCACUUCAGGAAUUUUCUUCAUUAAAAACACCACCUAAAAAAGUCGUCAUUUUUUUUAUCCUCCUCUCAACCGAACGUAUGUUAUGAUGGUUGAGAUGACAACAACCAUGGUUGCAUUCCAAGCAUUGAGAAGCCUCAAGCUUGAAAUAUGCUUUUGAGAUUAUAUUCUUUGCACAGAGUUGAAGAGUAGAGCCAGUUUGAGGGGGAGAAAAGGAAUAGGAAUACUAAUCCUCCACUCCGAGUCAUUAUUUUGAGUCUAUAGGAGUUGGAGCGUCGAUCCAUUCCCGAUGAAAAUUUGAAAAGUGGGCCUUUCCGGCGAGAUAAAGGAGGAAAUUAAAUGUGCCAGCUCGUGAGGAAGCAUGAGACGAUGAGGAUGAAACAGUUGGAAGCUGAUUGUCAUGGGGACCUUUUCUUUCGCUUUAUUCUCCUGUCUUCCAUACAAGGGUAACUGAAGCUACGUACAGGAACUGAGUUUACCGCAUAUCUCAAGCCUGAGCUUUGACAAGGUGAUAACUUUUAUGUUAAGUCGGUAUUAUUUAGUUUUCUUUACCUUUCUAGGCGGCAAAACAGAUGCUUAUUGAAUUUGUAGUCUUAAUGGCGAAUACGGUAGUGGAACAUGGCGUGUGGGAUCUGUUUGGUGUUCUAUAUUUGCAAAUUUUGUUGGCUGUUUGCCAACAAAAUCUUGGUGUUCUAGAGCUGAAGAUUGAAUUUAAUGAUGUUUUUGUCUUGGUAAAAUUAUUGGCUUUGUAUGCUUAUGAGGCUCUUGGGUUAUGCAGUGGAGAUAGUGGCAAUGAGUAAGGUACUCAAAUUACUUAUGCUAAUUAGUCGGUGAAGCUGCCCAUGGUACAAAACCAAUGGAUUGAGUAAGCUUGAAUUUUGAAUGUACAUUUCUUUGUUUCCUGAUGCUGUUUCUGGAUUAUGUUGCAUGACAUAGGCCAUUGCCGGCGCAUGUUCUGGUUUUUGGGAUUUUGAUCAGUAGGAUAUAUACACCUACAAAGCAUUUUAUUCUUCCCCAUUAAUGUUUGAAUCUAGACUUUUAUACUUUCAGCUACUAGAUUAGAAGCUCUCCAGCUUGAGGAUCAUA